rnacentral:misc_RNA from 1 species
AAAUAGAAGACAACACUCUAGAUUACUUCUUGGCAUAAGUAAUAACCAUUGGAUUCUGAGGAGUAAUUUUGAAACCCUGAAGGGCCUGCAUGGCCAUGGAGGACUGCACAUCAUCUUCAUAUUCUACAAAUGCAAUACCUGGCUUUGCCUCGAUCAUUCGGACUUCCCUGAAUCCUGGAUAUUGUUGGAAGAGCACUUGCAACAUCAUGCUAGAAGUUUCAUAUGGCAAAUUCUGUAUAAACAAUAUAUUAUUUGGUGGAGCAGUUUCCUGUUCACCCCGGUUUCCUUGUCGGAAAGAAGCUGGUCCUCUGCCACUCUCAGUAGUUGUACCAUUAGCUGUAGCAGAUUGUUGAGCUUCUUCAGCACGUCUCUUUCGUUCAGCUUUUUCUUCUUGCUUCUUCUUCCUUUUUGCAUUAGGAUCCCAGUUUCCUUCUGCCUCCACAAGGCAAUCAGACUUUGUUUUUGCAUACUGGAUCCGCAUAGGUUUUUCAUAAAAUGGAAAACCCUGCAUUUGCCGCACUGCAUUACUGGCAGCCAUCACUUCACUGAAACAAACCCAUGCUUGCCCUCGAAGCUUGGGUGUCUUCAAUGCAACAACAUCCAAAAUCCUUCCAUAUUGGGAAAAUAGACAAUAAAGUGAUCUCUUCAGUUCUUCUUUCUUGACCUUCUCAUUGAGGUUCUUAAUGUAUAUGGUUUGGCUGGGAGGUAUAUCCCCAGUUAACAUCGUCUGGAUCGACUAACCGAGUGCUUGGCUUCUAUGCGUGUGUGUGUAUCUUGGAGAGAGGUAAAGGAGGAAGA